rnacentral:rRNA from 1 species
UACGUAGGGUGCAAGCGUUAAUCGGAAUUACUGGGCGUAAAGCGUGCGCAGGCGGUGAUGUAAGACAGUUGUGAAAUCCCCGGGCUCAACCUGGGAACUGCAUCUGUGACUGCAUCGCUGGAGUGCGGCAGAGGGGGAUGGAAUUCCGCGUGUAGCAGUGAAAUGCGUAGAUAUGCGGAGGAACACCGAUGGCGAAGGCAAUCCCCUGGGCCUGCACUGACGCUGAGGCGCGAAAGCGUGGGGAGCAAACAGG